AGUUAGCCGGGGGUUUCUUUACCAGGUACUGUCAUUAUCAUCCCUGGCGAAAGAGCUUUACGACCCUAAGGCCUUCGUCACUCACGCGGCAUGGCUAGAUCAGGCUUGCGCCCACUUGUCUAAGAUUCCCCAC
rnacentral:rRNA from 1 species